rnacentral:rRNA from 1 species
UAGAUGCGAGAGUAGAGCAUAUCAAUAAGCGGAGGAAAAGAAACUAACAAGGAUUCCCUUAGUAACGGCGAGUGAAGCGGGAAGAGCUCAAAUUUGAAAUCUUCAAGGUUCUACCUUGACGAAUUGUAGUUUAUAGAAGUGUUUUCUGUUAGUAGGAGUGGCAAAAGUUCUUUGGAAUAGGACAUCAUAGAGGGUGAGAAUCCCGUAUUUGGUCAUUCCUCCUAGCGUUGUGAUACACUUUCAACGAGUCGGAUUGUUUGGGAAUGCAGUCCAAAAUGGGUGGUAAAUUUCAUCUAAAGCUAAAUAUUGGCGAGAGACCGAUAGCGAACAAGUACCGUGAGGGAAAGAUGAAAAGAACUUUGAAAAGAGAGUUAAACAGUACGUGAAAUUGUCAAAAGGGAAGCGUUUGACACCAGUGUUGUUUUUCCGAAAAUCAAUUACGAAUGUUUUAUUUUUGAGGAGUUAUGACUUCAUCGGCUUGCUCCUUUCUUUAUGAAACUUUCUUAAUGCACUUUUCGGUUAACAAGUCAACAUCAAUUUCUUUUGUUGUAAAAGGGUAUGAGGAAGGUGGCUUUCUUUUCGGAGAAAGUGUUUAUAGCCUUGUGCCUCUGCAAUCGGAGAGAUUGAGGUCUGCAGCGUAGAUCCUUCGGGGUUAGAUACAUUUGUGCUAAGUUAUAGCUUUUCAUAGACAACUUGUUGACUAUGUUAGUCUUGUAGCUUACUCGCUUAUGCUAUUUUACCUACGCUUAGGAUGUUGACGAGACUGUCGAUCUC